CCGCAUCCCCGCUCCAUCUGGUCCCCGCCAGGACCCGCCACACCAGACACCUGCCACCAGCAACGCUUUUCGUCCUCCUGGCCAAGAAAGCCUCCAAAAGGACCCAGAAAAAAAGAAAACAAAGUGAAUCAAGCUGAGAAAACAGUUACUAACAGUUUUCCAACUCAACAGUCUACCUUUUCUAGAUGUUUAGAGUGGUGAUGGCGGGAGCAAGAAAUGCAGAACAGGAACCACAUGAGGUUAGAGGGACAGACUGCUCGGAGUAUUUCACAGUUCCUUUAAUGGCCAUGGGAAUUGUGCCAUGUGAUUUCUCAUUUACAAUCCCAGCUCCUUGAAUUCUUAAUCUUCUUCCCCAAAAGUUUUCUGUAAGAUUUUUAAAAAUUCAUUUAUGUAAAUGUUUAAACUUUUUUUUUAAGAUUUUAUUUAUUUAUUCAUGAGAAUACACAGAGAGGAGAGAGAGAGGCAGAGACACAGGCAGAGAGA